AUUGAACGCUGGCGGCAUGCUUUACACAUGCAAGUCGAACGGUAACAGGCCGCAAGGUGCUGACGAGUGGCGAACGGGUGAGUAAUGCAUCGGAACGUGCCCAGUCGUGGGGGGUAACCAGUCGAAAGAUUGGCUAAUACCGCAUACGACCUACGGGUGAAAGCGGGGGACCGCAAGGCCUCGCGCUAUUGGAGCGGCCGAUGUCUGAUUAGCUAGUUGGUGAGGUAAUGGCUCACCAAGGCGACGAUCAGUAGCUGGUCUGAGGGGACGACCAGCCACACUGGGACUGAGACACGGCCCAGACUCCUACGGGAGUCAGCAGUGGGGAAUUUUGGACAAUGGGCGCAAGCCUGAUCCAGCCAUGCCGCGUGCGGGAAGAAGGCCUUCGGGUUGUAAACCGCUUUUGGCAGGAACGAAACGGCGACUUCUAAUACAGGUCGCUAAUGACGGUACCUGCAGAAUAAGCACCGGCUAACUACGUGCCAGCCGCCGCGGUAAAAC
rnacentral:rRNA from 1 species